rnacentral:rRNA from 1 species
GACGAACGCUGGCGGCGUGCUUAACACAUGCAAGUCGAACGAUGAAGAAGAGCUUGCUCUUCGGAUUAGUGGCGAACGGGUGAGUAACACGUGACUAACCUGCCCCUUUCUCUGGGAUAACGCUCCGAAAGGAGUGCUAAUACCGGAUACUCACAUCGAGGCACAUGCCUUGAUGUGGAAAGUUUUUCGGAAAGGGAUGGAGUCGCGGCCUAUCAGCUUGUUGGUGAGGUGACGGCUCACCAAGGCGACGACGGGUAGCCGGCCUGAGAGGGCGACCGGCCACACUGGGACUGAGACACGGCCCAGACUCCUACGGGAGGCAGCAGUGGGGAAUAUUGCACAAUGGGCGAAAGCCUGAUGCAGCGACGCCGCGUGAGGGAUGAAGGUCUUCGGAUUGUAAACCUCUUUCAGUAGGGACGAAGCGAAAGUGACGGUACCUAAAGAAGAAGCACCGGCUAACUACGUGCCAGCCGCCGCCGUAA